GUGGGUGACAGGUUUCGACGGAGUUACUGAAAUAAGGGAAGCGAGCCGAGGUUCUGGUUCCUCGUAAAACUACUAGAGCGUUUAAAUUAAACGCCAACGAUUACGCACUGGCUGCUUAAAUAGCGGUCACGUCCCUUAGAGUUUGCUCGUGGCUUUAAGUGUGACGUCAGAUAGCGAGCUACCUUGCUCUGAUUUCUGUAGGAAUAGGGGAAGCUUAACAGGAUAGCUAUCAAGGUGCUCCUGUCCACAGGACCCUUGAGAGCGAAACUUUAAAUGUGGGCUACGCUCGUAGAAGUCUUAUGGAAGUACUUUCGGACCGGAGUUCGACUCUCCGCACCUCCACCA
rnacentral:tmRNA from 1 species